AUUUCGACUGAUAGCCUUCUGAGCUAACAUAGUCAAGCGUGGUGUCUGGAAUGCGAGAUAGAGCAUCACGUUGUGAUUCACUAUAGCGUGGUUUGUAAAAUCUGUUUCAUUGCAUUUAUUUGGAAAAUCGUUUACAAACUACAAUGUUAAAUAUUGAUAUGUAUGCUGCUGUUCAGACUGCAAUUUCGCAAGAGAAUGAUAAAUCUCUGAAUGAAUUGAAAUUGCGUUUGAAUGAGGAAUAUUGUGGGGCGACUAAAAUGUCGAGACUGGAAUUCUUAUCAUUGCUUUUGAAAGACGAAACAUCAUUGAGCAGAGAGUUCUCAGCAGAAAUUUACAUGCCCAAAAUCGUGCGUAAGCAACACGAGGACAAAGAAAUGUAUGCAUGGCUUUAAGAUCAGAAGUAUCUGGCAACUGUCUUUACAGUUCAGUGUCAUUGCUUUUGGCAGGUGAUAACAGUUUAUUGCAUAUUUUGAGGCAGUUAACAUCACUUGAGCUGUUUUUGAAUGCUACUUUUUACUGCCAACAUCCUUUAUUUUCCUCAAUUGUUGAACAGCAUAAAGAAUUCAACAACACUUCAAAGAAUAUUUUACCUUUGACAGUAUCUCAAGACUGUCUAGAUUCGGGUUUUGUAGGUGUUGAUCUUGUCAAAAAGGAGGCCUUUUUGAAUUGCCAUGACCAAAAGUGGUCAUCGUUUCUAUGCAUUUUAGCUCUUUCUUCUGUGUUGGAGACAAAAAUUUUUACUUACUACCCAGAUUGUGGAGAGAGAAGGCCCAAAUCAAUAUUCAACUCUCUUGUUUGUGUGUGAGAGAGUUGUGUAAUGUAGCGAACGAGGUUUUGAGGGGCUCAAAGAUGCCGAGUACAUGGAGAAAGAGUCUAGUGGUCCCGCUGUACAAAG